CCAAGAUAAGAUAUCAACUGAAGAGCUGAUUUCGUACAAGUGUUCUUUGAUGUCAUUUGGGAAAGAUAUGGCAUUAAGGCAGAGAAACAAAGACUAACCAGCCCAAUGGUGGAGACAACAUGAGAGUAGCGCUCCAAACUUCCAGAAGAUGGCUAUGCGGAUCUUGAGUUUGACAACUACCUCUUCUGGUUGUGAGCGCAAUUGGAGUUCGUUUGAGAUGGUGCAUACAAAGAGAAGAAAUAGGUUUGAGCAAAGGAAGCUCCAUGACUUGGUUUUUGUUAAAGAGAAUCAAAGGCUCAAGGAGAAGAAAAAUCAGCCAAAGAAGGACCCUAUCUCUUCAAAAGACAUGGAGAAUGCUUCAGAUUGGCUAGUUAGUGACCCUGUACUGAGGAGGUCUGCCCUAGGGAGGGUUUGACAUGGGAAAUGGUCGAGGAGGCUUUGGGGCAAGCUUUUAAUCCAAGGAGGGCCACUCGAGCAACUUCUUCUGCUGGUACUUCACGGAGGGGGAUAGAGGAAGAGGAGGAAGAUUUAGAAGAAUCUCUAGAAGAAGAGGAAAAUGUUGAAGAGGGUGAUGAUUC